rnacentral:rRNA from 1 species
UACGUAGGCAGCGAGCGUUGUUCGGAGUUACUGGGCGUAAAGGGUGCGUAGGCGGUUGUUUAAGUUUGGUGUGAAAUCUCCCGGCUCAACUGGGAGGGUGCGCCGAAUACUGAAUGACUAGAGUGCGGGAGAGGAGAGUGGAAUUCCUGGUGUAGCGGUGAAAUGCAUAGAUAUCAGGAGGAACACCGGUGGUGUAGACGGCUCUCUGGACCGUAACUGACGUUGAGGCACGAAAGCGUGGGUAGCAAACAGG